UGCUCAGAUGCAGCCCAUCUGGCCUCAGAGACUUGUUUGGGCUCCUAAAGAGAUCUCAGCCUACACAGAUCCUCUUCCACUGCUGGAAGCUCCUCUGCUCCUGAACUUUUUCUCAAGGCAUUGGAGCUCAGUCCUAAGUUUCCUGCUCAGUCAGCCCAGCCUCCUGAUGCGUUUACUUGACUCGUUAAGCUGUGUGUAUGCUUUACUGCAUUUCUGGUUCACUGCAGUUGCAGAGGAAAAGUAGCACUGGCAGUCCACACCACAUGGGAACCCAAAUUUUCAGUAGUUACACAGGGGUAGUCAGGAGCAGUUCCAGCUGAGAGAGAAUCCAAUACACUUCCUGCUGAAUAAACAAUACGAAUAUAGUAAAAUGGAAUAGAAUAGAGUACAAUAGAACAUCUCAGUGACCUACAAAGAUUGUCAAGUCCAUCUAUCCAACCACUUCAGGACUAACCAAAAGUUAAAGACAUCCUACUGGCUCGUAAACACUGCCAAUCAAUGGGACAUCAAUGACCUGAGGAAGCCUUUUCCAGUGUCUGACCACCCUCACAGUAAAGAAUUUUUUUUCCUGAUAUUCAGUUUGAACCUCCUCUUGUGCAUCUCUGUGCCAUUGUGCCUGUCUUAAUGAAAGUGGUAUGAGUAAAGCCCACCAACUUUCCGACAGCUGAUUGACAAAACUGCAACAGCUGAAAAAGAUUUGAAGAAGAGCAGCAGGUUCUGUGCCUGGAAAAGAAGUCUGUAUUCUUCAACUUACUGGUAUCAGAUAAAAGGUUUUGGAUGUUGCACAGCGCUUAAUCCAUAAAAGUGAACUUGGAUUAAAGGAUGAGUAUUUGUAAGUCAAUUUGAAAGGAUUUUGAGCUCUUUUUUUUUGGAUUAUGUCUAAUGACUUAUCAAAAAGUGAUCAAAUAUAUGAAAAAAUAGCUGGCUGGUCUUCAGGUUACAGUUAUUGACAGGAAGAUGUGGGGAAUUUCCAUUAUGUUUGCCUGAUCUUUUAAAAACACAAAUACAAUUGGUUACCAACCCAACUGGAAAUCUUGUCAUUCAGUCUGCAAAUCUGUGGACCUGCUUUCCACAUAUUCCUUUACCUAUUUUUAAUUGAUAAAUCAGAAACAUGCAAAUAAUUUUUCUGUAUCUAUUCGCUUCUCUCAUUAAAGACUAACUGUGAAAGGCAAUGUAGCGUAGGUAGUAAGUGUUUCUGAAUAACGGUUGCAUUAGAUGCUCCUUUUCAAAUGAAAGGAGUGCCCCCUGCAAGGUAUUUGUCCUCCCAGUUGCUGAAGUGUUUGCAGAAGAACUCCUUACUUGCCCUUGGCCUUUAGCUACCACUAAUCCUUUUCAUACAGCUGACCAAGAAGCCUGACAUCUCAUCAGUGAUUUACUUUGUCCUUAACUUGUUGAGCUAUGAAGAAUAUAGCAUGUCAAUCAGUAAAAAACUAUGUGCUAUCAGCUAUCACUUAUUUGUCUUAAAAUCAUCACAUUCAAAAACCACAUUUCAUGUUCAUUGAAAGCCAUGUUCCAAUGUCCUCAUGUUUGGUGGUUUGUUUGUUUGUUUGUUUGCUUUUUUAGGAAAGAAGCGUGUUUUAUGAGACUGAAUACAUUUUAAGUUUAAGAAAAGGAAAGAUAAUGACUUGUAAUAUAGACACAGAUAUGCAGUAUGAUAGCUAUCACCAGGCUGAAUUAGAAUCAGCUCCACUGAAGUCAAAUGGUGCAACAUGUGAAACUGCAAUGAAAUAAAAUCAAUACUGGAUACAU
ensembl:lncRNA